UUGGAGGGCAAGUCUGGUGCCAGCAGCCGCGGUAAUUCCAGCUCCAAUAGCGUAUAUUAAAGUUGUUGCAGUUAAAAAGCUCGUAGUUGAAUUUCGGGGUCAAUAGGUUGGUCGUGCCAAUGGUAUGUACUGGCUUUAUUGAUUCCUACCUCUUGACGAACUGUGAUGCCAUUAAUUUGGUGUUGCAGGAAAUCAGGACUGUUACCUUGAAAAAAUUAGAGUGUUUAAAGCAGGCUUACGCUUGAAUACAUUAGCAUGGAAUAAUGAAAUAGGACGUUUGGACCUAUUUUGUUGGUUUCUAGGAUCGACGUAAUGAUUAAUAGGGAUAGUUGGGGGCAUUAGUAUUCAAUUGUCAGAGGUGAAAUUCUUGGAUUUAUUGAAGACUAACUACUGCGAAAGCAUUUGCCAAGGAUGUUUUCAUUAAUCAAGAACGAAAGUUAGGGGAUCGAAGACGAUCAGAUACCGUCGUAGUCUUAACCAUAAACUAUGCCGACUAGGGAUCGGAUGAUGUUAAUUUUUUAAUGACUCAUUCGGCGCCUUACGGGAAAC
rnacentral:rRNA from 1 species